AGGGACAUUACCAAGAUGCUGAAAAUAACCUGGCAUGAGAAAUACUGUGCACACAUUUUUUGGUCUAAGAAGAGUAAACGAGACUGUUAAACAUUUCAGACAUGCGAUAUUACUAGAACAUAUUACAGGGUACCAGUUUGUCUGAACCUCUGCAACGGUAGUGUGUGGUGAAUUUCACGAUUCAAAUACGUGCUAGGCUAAAUGCUAAGUACCAAG